rnacentral:rRNA from 1 species
UACGUAGGGUGCGAGCGUUGUCCGGAAUUAUUGGGCGUAAAGGGCUCGUAGGCGGCCUGUCGCGUCGGGAGUGAAAACUCAGGGCUUAACCCUGAGCCUGCUUCCGAUACGGGCAGACUAGAGGUAUGCAGGGGAGAACGGAAUUCCUGGUGUAGCGGUGGAAUGCGCAGAUAUCAGGAGGAACACCGGUGGCGAAGGCGGUUCUCUGGGCAUUACCUGACGCUGAGGAGCGAAAGUGUGGGGAGCGAACAGG